AUUGAACGCUGGCGGCAUGCCUUACACAUGCAAGUCGAACGGUAACAGGUCUUCGGAUGCUGACGAGUGGCGAACGGGUGAGUAAUACAUCGGAACGUGCCCAGACGUGGGGGAUAACGAGGCGAAAGCUUUGCUAAUACCGCAUACGAUCUAAGGAUGAAAGCAGGGGACCGCAAGGCCUUGCGCGUUUGGAGCGGCCGAUGGCAGAUUAGGUAGUUGGUGGGAUAAAAGCUUACCAAGCCGACGAUCUGUAGCUGGUCUGAGAGGACGACCAGCCACAACGGGAAUGGGACAAGGGCCAGACCCCCGCGGGAGGGCGCCGUUGGGGAAUUUGGGCCAAGGGGGAAAGGCUGAUCCCAGAAAGCCGCGUGGAAGAAGAAGGCCCUCGGGUUGUAAACUGCUUUUGUACGGAACGAAAAGGCUCUGGCUAAUACCUGGGGCACAUGACGGUACCGUAAGAAUAAGCACCGGCUAACUACGUGC
rnacentral:rRNA from 1 species